UACGAAGGGGGCUAGCGUUGCUCGGAAUUACUGGGCGUAAAGCGCACGUAGGCGGCUUCUUAAGUCGGUGGUGAAAUCCUGGAGCUCAACUCCAGAACUGCCUUCGAUACUGGGAAGCUCGAGUCCGGGAGAGGCGAGUGGAACUGCGAGUGUAGAGAUGAAAUUCGUAGAUAUUCGCAAGAACACCAGUGGCGAAGGCGGCUCACUGGCCCGGUACUGACGCUGAGGUGCGAAAGCGUGGGGAGCGAACAGG
rnacentral:rRNA from 1 species